CCGAGAGCCGGGCGGGCACGCGUCAUUGUGUUACCUGCGGCCGGCCCGCGAGCUAGGCUGGUUUUUUUUUUUCUCCCCUCCCUCCCCCCUUUUUCCAUGCAGCUGAUCUAAAAGGGAAUAAAAGGCUGCGCAUAAUCAUAAUAAUAAAAGAAGGGGAGCGCGAGAGAAGGAAAGAAAGCCGGGAGGUGGAAGAGGAGGGGGAGCGUCUCAAAGAAGCGAUCAGAAUAAUAAAAGGAGGCCGGGCUCUUUGCCUUCUGGAACGGGCCGCUCUUGAAAGGGCUUUUGAAAAGUGGUGUUGUUUUCCAGUCGUGCAUGCUCCAAUCGGCGGAGUAUAUUAGAGCCGGGACG
rnacentral:lncRNA from 10 species